rnacentral:rRNA from 1 species
AGAGUUUGAUCCUGGCUCAGAAUCAACGCUGGCGGCGUGCCUAACACAUGCAAGUCGAGCGAGAAAGUGUAGCAAUACAUGAGUACAGCGGCGCACGGGUGAGUAACACGUGGAUAACCUGCCUCGAAGUGGGGAAUAACCCCGGGAAACCGGAGCUAAUACCGCAUAAUCUGACGAGAUCUGUGGAUUUUGUCAGCAAAGGAGCAAUUCGCUUUGAGAGGGGUCCGCGGCUGAUUAGCUAGUUGGUGAGGUAAUGGCUCACCAAGGCCACGAUCAGUAGCCGGUCUGAGAGGACGGUCGGCCACACUGGAACUGAGACACGGUCCAGACUCCUACGGGAGGCAGCAGUGGGGAAUUUUUCGCAAUGGGGGCAACCCUGACGAAGCAACGCCGCGUGGGUGAUGAAGUAUUUCGGUACGUAAAACCCUUUCGACGGGGACGAAACCGCAAGGUUGACGGUACCCGUAGAAGAAGCCCCGGCUAACUCCGUGCCAGCAGCCGCGGUAAUACGGGGGGGGCAAGCGUUGUUCGGAAUUACUGGGCGUAAAGGGCGCGUAGGCGGUUCGCUAAGUUGGAUGUGAAAACUCUGGGCUUAACCCAGAGCCUGCAUCCAAAACUGGCAAACUUGAGUACUGGAGGGGAAAGCGGAAUUCCUGGUGUAGCGGUGAAAUGCGUAGAUAUCAGGAGGAACACCGGUGGCGAAGGCGGCUUUCUGGACAGUAACUGACGCUGAGGCGCGAAAGCUAGGGGAGCAAACAGGAUUAGAUACCCUAGUAGUCC